GAUGAACGCUGGCGGCGUGCCUAAUACAUGCAAGUCGAGCGAACAGACGAGGAGCUUGCUCCUCUGACGUUAGCGGCGGACGGGUGAGUAACACGUGGAUAACCUACCUAUAAGACUGGGAUAACUUCGGGAAACCGGAGCUAAUACCGGAUAAUAUAUUGAACCGCAUGGUUCAAUAGUGAAAGACGGUUUUGCUGUCACUUAUAGAUGGAUCCGCGCCGCAUUAGCUAGUUGGUAAGGUAACGGCUUACCAAGGCAACGAUGCGUAGCCGACCUGAGAGGGUGAUCGGCCACACUGGAACUGAGACACGGUCCAGACUCCUACGGGAGGCAGCAGUAGGGAAUCUUCCGCAAUGGGCGAAAGCUUGACGGAGCAUCGCCGCGUGAGUGAUGAAGGUCUUCGGAUCGUAAAACUCUGUUAUUAGGGAAGAACAAAUGUGUAAGUAACUAUGCACGUCUUGACGGUACCUAAUCAGAAAGCCACGGCUAACUACGUG
rnacentral:rRNA from 1 species